AAACAUUCUUCCUUCUUCUAAUAGUGGAUACGGUCCUUGUAAUGCUUCCGAUUUUGUGCAGCCGUCUCCAAUUUCAAUUUCAUGUUGGUAGCAUCUAUACCAUACCAUAUGCAAUGAACAUGGCUUAAUCAGUUGCUGGGAAAAAUGGUCCCAAAGUUUUUAUAGAAAAUCAUAAUAACAUCAAGUAAAUGACUAGAAAAAGAGAAAAAACAUUCAUUUUGACCUCUCCUCCCAAAACUUUAAAAAGUAUAAAUUAGUCUGUAAGAAUUAUUUUAUGGGUUAAUCAUGCCCCAAACCCUAAACUUACUAGGGUUUUGCAUUUCUAUGCUAAACUUUAAUUUAGCGCAAUCAGAUCAUCGAACAUGCUAAAUUUAACAUUCCAAACCCCGGCUUUGACCUUCGUUGGAGUUGGUCAUACACUAGCACAUGCUGUCAAAAAGAUGCCAGUGUGGAUAGAAUUGGUUGAAAUAGGACAAUCUAAUACAAAAAAAAAAGGGAACGUAGAGGACUUGCUGGAGGGAAAGAAGAAGGGAAGGGAUGCGGAGGAAGACUUGCCGGAGGGCGGUGGCGGACCAGUUGCGGGAGCUGCGGGGGAUGGCACUACCAAUAACUGCAUUGAAACAGUGCACCAUCUUGGUUGCUUUGCGCCAAGACCUGAAGGAAGUCGACCACUCGAAUCGAACAGCCUUCUGACCAUCGUAAACCAGAAAUUAUGGAGGCCAGUCCUGCCCCAAGCCAGACGAGAACACCACCUUGCAUCACCUCCUCUUCGUGUACCAGAAUUAUGCAGACAGCUAACCCACUUCAGGGUUUGGAUCACCCAAACUCUUACUUUUU
rnacentral:lncRNA from 1 species